ensembl:lncRNA
AGAUUGAAUAUACAUUUGCAGAAUUUAUGUCAAAGAUGAUGUCGAAACUAAAUGCUCUCAGACUUCUCUCCCCUACACAGGAACACUGUGAGGCUGAAUUCAAGGUUGGACCAGGAGAUUGUGUCCUAAACAACAGCCUCAAAAGAAAACACUGCCAUUCGCCCAAGUGGGACAGACCAUAACAAGUGCUACUGUCAACACCUACCGCAGUCAAAAUAGCUGAUCAUCUUUCUUUGCUGUUUCCAGGGUGUGCCCACUGUGACAGAAGACCAGCCUACAAAGGGGUUUAGAUGUUUAGAUUCUAUUCGUCUCAACCGCUGGCAGAAGAUACAGUACUGUCCUGGGGGAUUAGAACCUAGUGGAAAUUGUGGAGUAGAAGGUCUCUUCCUCUGCAAGGUCAUGGGAGGUUACGGAAAGCGGGCCAAAGGAUGUGAGGGACUCUUAGCACUCUUAACGACUGUAGGAUUUUACAUUGUUGGUCUAUUAACAUACUUAUGGAUGAGACAGCAAACACAGGCCCUAGACGAAUAUCCACGAUGGGACCUGGCUAAAGAUCAUCCCUGGUGGAAAUGGGUAAAUCAGACCGUCAGAACGCAAGUACCACAAGAUUACCCCCAGGUCCAAGACUCAUCAGUACCUGAGGAACGUUCCAAUGCAUUCCGUACGAGGGAGGAGAGAAGCAGGGGAUGACAGCGGGAUCUGGUUCGAUGGCCUGGGCAUUCCCUGAUUGCAUUCCAGACCACUACAAAGCCUUGAACCCAGCAGCCAAUGGCCUGGCAUCUACCCUCUGCCCCUGGUGCGUCAUCGGAGCACACACAGAUUGGAUUAACUUCCUUUACUACGCCGAGAUGAAGUUCCAAAACCUGACCACAGACGGGACUACAAAAGAUCAGAGAAGAACUACACGCCAACUCCAGGUUAACGCGGCAAAACACAACUGCGAAAUUCUCACUGCCAUGAAUGGAGGCAUUCGUGUCAUGCUUGGUACUGACCAAUGUUGCACAUAUGUCCCUGAUAACACCCGAGAUGGGAAAGACUUAGAUCUGAUCCUACAAAAGAUGCAAAAAGUUGUCCAACAGAAUGCCUGAUGGGGAACAGGGCCUUCAAGGACACAGCAAAGAAACCUUGUUUGAAUGUUAUCUGAAGCCUAGGCGAGCUAAUGACACACACAGUCGACACCCACUAUGUUGGCCUACAAAUGCAAAGUAUUCAAAUGUGUGAUGAGAAAUAUGAUGACAUUUUAAAUGAUUGACUUAUGAUGAUAUGGAGUGAUGCUCAGUAAUGAUCUCUGUUCCGAAAAUCCAUGUGAUGAAGCUCAGAGUGAUGAUUUUGAAGUUAUCCAUUGAAAUUGAUAAUUGACGAAUUAAGAAAGAUGAUUUGUGAUUUUAAUUGUGAUUUUGAUUGUGAUUCUGAAUUAUCCAUUGAAACGGAUAAAAGGAGGGACUGAUGGAGAUAAUUUCCAAACACUGUUAAUGACUUAAGAAUAUAAUAAUCAAGUGCC